UCAUGCUUUAUCACAAUUUCGUGAAUUUUCUUGUCAUUAGGAAAGUCUUGAGAUAUUCACGCCCGAUCGGGUUAGAUUUUGGAUGCCAGAGAAAAUUAUAACUGUAACGGUUACAAAAGUUGCUGGCACAAUAAAUUCAGCAUUUACACAACAUCUGGCACAUAUGUACAUGUUGUUGGCUACUCUGUCGUCACAUGGAUCUGUCAUAAAGCAUGCAGGGCGUGGAUCCUAUUAUUUAAUAAUGACUACAAUUGUAUAUUGCACAGUGUUAUAGAUAUUUAAUCCCGUGGGGACCCGCAUUAGAAUAGGUCCUCAGUACCCCUUGCUUGUCGUAUAAGGCGACUAAAUGGGGCCAUCCUUCGGAUGAGACCGCAACAACCGAGGCCCCGUGUCACAGCAGAUGUGGCACGAUAAAGAUCCCUCCCUGCUCAAAGGCCAUAAACGCCAAGCAUAGGCCUUAUUAUGCAGCCCUUCACCGGCAGUGGUGACAUCUCCAAAUGAGUGAAAUAUUCUCUCGAGGGACGUUAAACAGCAUUCAAUCAAUAAAGAUUUAAGAUAUGGAGCUAUAUAUAAAGAGUUACCGAUAAAAACAAUGUUUUAUUAUUUAGUUCUUGAGUGAAAUAAAUAUGAAUCAUGCAUUAUGUGAUCAGUGAGGGUUCCUUGUAGGUAAAAAAGCCGAGGCACAGUGAUCACAAAAAAUCAGUUUAUUUCAGUCUUCACGAAAACAUUUAAAACUUGCUGGUCAGUCAGACCAGUGAACUGUCUGAAUUCACUGGUCCACAGUGAAAUUUACUGCCCCCCCCCCCCCAAUUUUCAUGUUUAUCACAUACAUUAUGGAAUGCAUUGUAAAACUACAAUUAAUUUACUGAAACUAUGCUUAUUACUCAUAUUCAUAUCCACCCUACGACAUCCUUUCUGUCAAUACCAGAAAAACAACGCCAUACAUGGUAUUUUCUCUCUCUUCGCCCGCAACAACAAGACUGCAAAUUCACAUAUUUUUCACAAACGAGUACACCUUAGGAAGUAGCCUUCUCUACCAACAUCAAAUGUAAAUGACUGAUUAAUUCUAUAAACUAUAGAAAUUGCAUAAAAUCAGAGAUAACUGCAAUUGACGAAGUUCAUUUUAAUUGGAGAAUGCAAUAUAGCAGCAGGUACCGCGAUACAGAACACAAUCUUUUUUGUUGUUUCAAUAAGUUGUUCAUUGAAUAUUCACGUCAUCAACGUACAAGUUAUCUGGACAAUUACAAGUAUAGUUAUCGUUCUUUACUUUAAAGAAAUAAACAAACCAAGAUGUCAAAACACUUACUUUAUGUGCUAUUUAUUGUUUUAUUUUGAUGGUAAUUUAAGUAAAUAAAAUAGUUAGAAUAUCUAAAUCCAACAUUAUAAUAUUUGAUGUGACUUACAAAAAGUUUCCAAGCCUAUCAGACUUCCUGAUUUUUUAUUUUCACUGACCCGACCCUAAAAUUCACUGGCCUCGGUCUUCGGAACACUGAGUUUUCAUGAAGACUGUUAUUUGUACAAGCACCAGCACAAAACAUCCUGUGACUGAGCAUCUCACAAGUCUGUAGUCUGGCCAAUGUUUCUUCACAUGGAUCUGAAAUACAGCGCACAAGGUGUAGAUCCUGUAAUUAAUCAACAUUACAAUAUUGAGUGUUGAACAGUGUUAUUUUAGAAGUAAAAGUAGAGCUAAAUAAGAACUUGUCAAUACAUGUAAAUACAAAUUGUUUGAUGUUCAAAUGUUGAGUACGAGUGAGUUAUUGAUUGAAAUUUAUAUCAAUGCCUUCCAUAAUUUUAAGAAGUGGGAAAUGAUGGAGACAAAUGCAGUGUGCUGAUUGUGCAGAAAACCAAAGUUUAUUAGAUAUAUAUAUCCCACACCUGAGAGGAUAAGGGCAUAAACUGUCAAUAAAUUAAAAGUUUCUACGUUUUUAAACAAGGAAACAGAAUAAAGAAAUAUUUCACACACCCACACCCCGUAUUAUGGAGAAUACAAUUUUUUCUUGCAGUUGAAAUCCAAAGGGACCUUCUAUUUAAAAAGUGGAUGAAAACAGUAUUAGAGGGUGGCCUCUUCAUCAAAGCUCAGUAUAUGGAAAGACCUCUAAUAUGGAUUCAACAUAUUUAAUUCUUUUAAACUUUGCAAGUGAAAAAUUAAUACUUUUCUGCCAAUGAAAGUGUAGACUUAGUCUGUUGUUUUCUUACUGCACAUAUACCAACUACCAGGGUUUGCAACAAGGAUAAAAGAAAUGCCUUCCCAGAGCUAUGAACUCACCUUGUUUUCAACAAUGAUUAUUGUGGCAGUGAUAUUGAUAUUUUUGGUGGGAGCAGUGACUUUGUUACUAAAGUGUUCAAAAUUUAUCAUCUCUAGGAUAUUUGCUUCAACUGGAAAAUCUUCUGAUCACCCAAACCAGGAUGUUUACCCUCGUGAUAGAAAAACAGACUAGUUAUUUUUAAUCACUGUAUUUUAACCACUUGUGUUCACCUUAGUUUAUAUACAUGUACAUACUGUAUAAUGGGUAAUUUCUGCGGUUGGAAAUUUUUGCAAUUUGAUCCAUAAAUGGUAGCAAAUUCAAUUAUAUGAUUAUAUUCUAAUUUUAAUAAGAUUGGAGUUCUUGUUAUGUGUUUGUUUCUGGUUCAAUUUAUUUCAUUUAUUACUUUUUAUUUAUUUAUUCAUUCAUGAAAUAAAGGGUGUGCAACAUUU